UUUUCUUCUUCUCUUUCUUCUUUUUUCCUCUUCUCCUUCUUUCUGUCGAUCUCAGUUCUGAAGAACUGAGUUAUCUAUGUGUGAGAUGUUCUUAGAAAGUUAGUUAGCUUGUUGAAUCGAGGAAGAUGAAGUAAGAACUGAGGUCGUUUGAGUUCCAGGAGAAGAAGAAGGUGAUGUUGAUCUUGAAUCGAAGUUAGGGUUUUUGUUAUGGAAAGAUUAGGAAGGGUUCUGAGAUCGAGAUAAGAAGAGACUAAUUUAGAAUCAAGUGUUUGUGGUGGUGUUGAUUAGGGUUGAUGUUUCAGAAUCGAAAAAAGUUACUCUCUAUUAACAACGAUCGAUUCAAAGGAUGAACUAGUAUAUGGAGGAAUCCAAGGUAGGAGUUGGCUUGUCAUCAAAUCAGGUGGGAAAUCUGUAACCUUCUUGUAAUCAUUAAGCAUUCUUUCUAUUGCCAGCAUGAUGAGUCUUUAUUACUUUUGGCAUGUUUGUGUGUUUUACUAUCUAUGUAAAUACUUGUAUGUGCCUUGUUGUACGUGUAAUAUGCGUUGUAUGAUUUUCUCGCAAUGAGUGUUUGUGAUUCCCCACGGCUCUUUGCGAAGUUAAGUAAGGUGGUUUCUUCCCCGUUUUAAUAUUA